rnacentral:rRNA from 1 species
UAAGGGAUAUUGGUCAAUGGGGCGGGAGCCUGAACCAGCCAUGCCGCGUGAGGGAAUGAGGCCCUACGGGUCGUAAACCUCUUUUGCCGGGGGAUAACGGGCGCCACGUGUGGCGCCGUGAAGGUACCCGGAGAAUAAGCAUCGGCUAACUCCGUGCCAGCAGCCGCGGUAAUACGGAGGAUGCGAGCGUUAUCCGGAUUUAUUGGGUUUAAAGGGUGCGCAGGCGGCCUUGCAAGUCAGCGGUCAAAUCGUGGAGCUCAAACUCCAUUCCGCCGUUGAUACUGCCGGGCUUGAUUGCGGUUGAGGUUGGCGGAAUUCGUCGUGUAGCGGUGAAAUGCAUAGAUAUGACGAAGAACCCCGAUUGCGUAGGCAGCUGACCAAG